rnacentral:rRNA from 1 species
CGGGGUGCACCAGGCGCGAAAACUUUACAAUGCUGGAAACAGCGAUAAGGGGACCUCGAGUGCCAGGUUACAAAUCUGGCUGUCGUGAUGCCUAAAAAGCAUUGCAUAGCAAGGGCCGGGCAAGACCGGUGCCAGCCGCCGCGGUAACACCGGCGGCUCGAGUGGUAACCGUUAUUAUUGGGUCUAAAGGGUCUGUAGCCGGCCGGAUAAGUCUCUUGGGAAAUCCAGCAGCUCAACUGUUGGGCUUUCAGGAGAUACUGUCUGGCUCGAGGCCGGGAGAGGUGAGAGGUACUUCAGGGGUAGGGGUGAAAUCUUGUAAUCCUUGAAGGACCACCAGUGGCGAAGGCGUCUCACCAGAACGGACCUGACGGCAAGGGACGAAAGCUAGGGGCACGAACCGGAUUAGAUACCCGGGUAGUCCUAGCCGUAAACGAUACUCGCUAGGUGUCGGCCACGGUGCGACCGUUGUCGGUGCCGUAGGGAAGCCGUGAAGCGAGCCACCUGGGAAGUACGGCCGCAAGGCUGAAACUUAAAGGAAUUGGCGGGGGAGCACAAGGGCGAAUGCGG